rnacentral:rRNA from 1 species
UACAUGGGGUGCAAACGUUGCUCGGAAUUAUUGGGCGUAAAGCGCACGUAGGCGGUUUGUUAAGUCGGAUGUGAAAUCCCUCGGCUCAACUGAGGAAGUGCAUCCGAAACUGGCAAGCUUGAGUACGAAAUAGGGUCGCGGAAUUCCCGGUGUAGAGGUGAAAUUCGUAGAUAUCGGGAGGAACACCGGUGGCGAAGGCGGCGACCUGGGUCGAUACUGACGCUGAGGUGCGAAAGCGUGGGGAGCGAACAGG